rnacentral:rRNA from 1 species
UGCCGCGUGAGUGAUGAAGGCCCUAGGGUCGUAAAGCUCUUUCAACUGUGAAGAUAAUGACGGUAGCAGUAGAAGAAACCCCGGCUAACUCCGUGCCAGCAGCCGCGGUAAU